rnacentral:rRNA from 1 species
UACGGAGGGUGCAAGCGUUAUCCGGAAUCAUUGGGUUUAAAGGGUCCGCAGGCGGUCAAUUAAGUCAGAGGUGAAAUCCCACAGCUUAACUGUGGAACUGCCUUUGAUACUGGUUGACUUGAGUUAUACGGAAGUAGAUAGAAUAUGUAGUGUAGCGGUGAAAUGCAUAGAUAUUACAUAGAAUACCGAUUGCGAAGGCAGUCUACUACGUAUAUACUGACGCUCAUGACGAAAAGCGUGGGGAGCGAACAGGAUUAGAUACCCCGUGUC